UGAAACAUCUAAGUACCUGGAGGAAGAGAAAGAAAAAUCGAUUUCCUGAGUAGCGGCGAGCGAAACGGAAAGAGCCCAAACCAAGAAGCUUGCUUCUUGGGGUUGUAGGACACUCUAUACGGAGUUACAAAAGAAAGUUAUAAAUGAAGCGGUCUGGAAAGGCCCGCCAAAGACGGUAACAGCCCGGUAGUUGAAAUGGCUUUCCCUCCAGAGUGGAUCCUGAGUACGGCGGAACACGUGAAAUUCCGUCGGAAUCCGGGAGGACCAUCUCCCAAGGCUAAAUACUCCCUAGUGACCGAUAGUGAACCAGUACCGUGAGGGAAAGGUGAAAAGCACCCCGGAAGGGGAGUGAAACAGUUCCUGAAACCGUGUGCCUACAAGUAGUUAGAGCCCGUUAAUGGGUGAUAGCGUGCCUUUUGUAGAAUGAACCGGCGAGUU
rnacentral:rRNA from 1 species